rnacentral:rRNA from 1 species
GAUAGUACCUUACUACUUGGAUAACCGUGGUAAUUCUAGAGCUAAUACAUGCUGAAAACCCCGACUUCGGGAGGGGUGUAUUUAUUAGAUAAAAAACCAACGCCCUUCGGGGCUUCUUGGUGAUUCAUGAUAACUUCACGGAUCGCAUGGCCUUGCGCCGGCGACGGUUCAUUCAAAUUUCUGCCCUAUCAACUUUCGAUGGUAAGGUAUUGGCUUACCAUGGUUUCAACGGGUAACGGGGAAUUAGGGUUCGAUUCCGGAGAGGGAGCCUGAGAAACGGCUACCACAUCCAAGGAAGGCAGCAGGCGCGCAAAUUACCCAAUCCCGACACGGGGAGGUAGUGACAAUAAAUACUGAUACAGGGCUCUUUUGGGUCUUGUAAUUGGAAUGAGUACAAUUUAAACCUCUUAACGAGGAACAAUUGGAGGGCAAGUCUGGUGCCAGCAGCCGCGGUAAUUCCAGCUCCAAUAGCGUAUAUUAAAGUUGUUGCAGUUAAAAAGCUCGUAGUUGAAACUUGGGCCUGGCUGGCAAGGUCCGCCUCACCGCGUGUACUUGUCCGGCCGGGCCUUUCCUUCUGGAGAACCUCAUGCCCUUCACUGGGUGUGUUGGGGAACCAGGACUUUUACUUUGAAAAAAUUAGAGUGUUCAAAGCAGGCCUUUGCUCGAAUACGUUAGCAUGGAAUAAUAGAAUAGGACGUGCGGUCCUAUUUUGUUGGUUUCUAGGACCGCCGUAAUGAUUAAUAGGGACAGUCGGGGGCAUCAGUAUUCAAUUGUCAGAGGUGAAAUUCUUGGAUUUAUUGAAGACUAACUACUGCGAAAGCAUUUGCCAAGGAUGUUUUCAUUAAUCAGUGAACGAAAGUUAGGGGAUCGAAGACGAUCAGAUACCGUCGUAGUCUUAACCGUAAACUAUGCCGACUAGGGAUCGGGCGAUGUUCUUUUUCUGACUCGCUC